rnacentral:tRNA from 1 species
GCACGCGUGGCCUAACCGGCAAAGGCGCCUGUCUUAGAAACAGGAUAUUGAGAGUUCGAAUCCCUCCGCGUGUACCA